UCAGUUCGGAUCGCAGGCUGCAACCCGCCUGCGUGAAGCCGGAAUUGCUAGUAAUCGCGGAUCAGCAUGCCGCGGUGAAUACGUUCCCGGGCCUUGUACACACCGCCCGUCACACCAUGAGAGCCGGGGGACCCGAAGUCCGUAGUUUAACCGCAAGGAGGACGCGGCCGAAGGUAAAACUGGUGAUUGGGGUGAAGUCGUAACAAGGUAUC
rnacentral:rRNA from 1 species